CAGAGUAGAUCAAUGCGCGUACAGUGUUCCGCCGACGGGGAGUUGCGGCGGGAACGAAAAGAGAUCAUACGAUCUCUUGCGGUGCAUUGAUCGCAUCCCGCUG
rnacentral:ncRNA from 1 species